ensembl:lncRNA
UUAGAGAUCACCCUAUAGCUCCAGAUCAUCCUAUGGACCCACACAGCCCCUUAGAGGACCACAUCCUCCAAAGUAUAGCCUUAUAUCUCCCUAUAUCCCCAAAUAGCCCACCACAGCCCCUCUGUAACCCCCAAACGCCCAUUUUAGCCUCCCAUACCUUCUCCAGCAUAACAUCCCUCUCUACAGACCCUCCCUGGCCCCCUAUCAUCCUAUACACUCUUACAGCCUGCCACAACCCCCUAAAAAUUCACUACUACCCCAUAUCUCCCUAUAUCCCCUCCACAGCCCCCUAUAGCCUCCUACCCUACUACAACCCGCCUACAGACCACCCACAGCUCCCUAAAGCCCCAUAACCACCUAUAAAGCUCCUAUAGCCUCCCCAUAGAACCAUAUAGCUCCCCCAAUAGCCCCCUACAGCGUCAUAAUAUUCCCCUGCUCCCUACAGCCCCAUAGCACCCCAUGUCCCCUCUACAGCCCUAAAACCCUCCCUACAGUCCCCCAGCCCCUAAAGCCCAAUCUCCCCUUAUAGCACCCCACAGACCCACACUGGCCCUAGACUCCCUCCAGAGCCCCCCCCACUCUCCCAUAUCCAGCCUCAUAUCCCCCUAGAACCCUUCUAGACUCCAUAUCUCCCCUAUAUCCCCACAGACACCCUAUAUCCUCCCUCAGGCCCCCACAAUCUCCUACAGCACAACAUCCUUCCCUAGAGCCCCCCCCAACCCCUAGCACCCUCAACCCUCCCACAUGUGACCACAAACCCCUAGAGCCACAUAUCCCCCUCGAACACACCUAUAGCCCUUACAGACCCCUCAUAGAACCGUGGAGCUCCUCCCAAAGCCCCCUACAGACCCAUAUCACCCCUAUACCCCCACAGCCCCCUAGAGAACCAAAUCCCCCUAUAUCCCCCAUAUAGCCCUAAAACACUCCCUAAAGACUCUGCAGCACCCUAGAGCCCCAUAUCCCCCAAUAGCUGCCCACAGAUCCCUAGAUUCCAACCGCAUCCCCCUCUUUUCCCAUAUACCCCAAUACCCCUUCUACAGUCCCCCACAGCUUUCUAGAGCCCCAUAGCCCCCCUAGAGAUACAAUUAAGCUCCAUAAAGCCCCGCAAACCCCUAGAGCCAACCCUAGAGCCACCCUACCGCCCUAUAGCCUCAUGUCCUCCAACAACCCCCACACAGCCCUAUAUCCCUCUGCAGCCCCCCUAUAGCCCCCAAUAGCCCCACAACCCUCCCGAUAGCCCCCACAGAACACUACAGCCCCAUAUCCCCCAAUAUCCAACCCUAUA